CUUGUUAUUUUUCGUUUUUUUGGAUUAUAAUCAUCCUAGUGGGAAAAGCUGUCAUCUUUCAAGAAUACAUACAUCAAAGCUUGGGACAAGAUAUUUAUCUAAUUUCUGUGGCAAAAUUAAAGACCUGCUAGGAAGCAGGUGACAAUGAAGAAAGAAACUGAAUUUAUCAUUUUCUCCUAAGGAAAAAUGAUAGACAAAAAUCAAACCUGUGGUGUAGGACAGGACUCUAUGCCCUAUAUGACUUGCCUGGUUCACAUACUUGAAGAAUGGUUUGGUGUGGAGCAACUGGAGGACUAUCUGAAUUUUGCAAACUAUCUUUUGUGGGUUUUUACGCCACUAAUACUUUUAAUACUUCCUUACUUUACUAUCUUUCUUCUCUACCUUACUAUUAUUUUCUUACACAUUUAUAAGAGGAAGAAUGUAUUAAAAGAAGCCUACUCUCAUAAUUUAUGGGAUGGUGCAAGGAAAACGGUGGCAACUCUGUGGGAUGGACACGCAGCGGUAUGGCACGGUUAUGAAGUUCAUGGGAUGGAAAAAAUACCAGAAGGACCAGCACUUAUAAUUUUUUAUCAUGGAGCUAUUCCCAUAGAUUUUUACUACUUCAUGGCUAAAAUUUUUAUCCACAAAGGCAGAACUUGUCGAGUAGUAGCUGAUCACUUUGUCUUUAAAAUUCCAGGGUUUAGUUUAUUACUUGAUGUGUUUUGUGCUCUACAUGGACCAAGAGAAAAAUGUGUUGAAAUUCUGAGGAGUGGUCACUUGUUAGCUAUUUCACCAGGUGGAGUUCGGGAAGCCCUAAUUAGUGAUGAAACCUACACCAUCGUAUGGGGUAAUCGCAAAGGUUUUGCUCAGGUCGCAAUUGAUGCAAAAGUGAUGAGGAGACUCAGGCACAGAGAGAUGGAGGGAUGGAAGGGCUCUGGUCACACAGCAAGGCAGCAGCAGAGCAGAGCACACAGUUCAGGACUCGAGGCAACUGGUGCUGUUGCCGUCCCUGACUACAUGCCGCACCCAUUAUUCCUAUGUUUACACAAAAUAUUCGAGAAGGAUUUAGAUCACUUGGAGGAACAAGAUUAUUUAGGUGGCUUUAUGAAAAAUUUCGCUAUCCAUUUGCUCCGAUGUAUGGAGGUUUUCCAGUGAAGUUACGGACCUAUUUAGGUGAUCCUAUUCCGUAUGAUCCAGAGAUAACAGCAGAAGAAUUAGCUGAAAAGACGAAGAAUGCUGUUCAAGCUUUGAUUGAUAAGCACCAGAGAAUACCAGGAAACAUUAUGAGUGCUUUGUUAGAACGUUUUCAUAA